CAGAAAUACAUGAUCAAUUAUUUAAUGCAUUUUAUUUCAAAAAUAUAAAAUAUAUAUUUUAUAAAGAUAUAUUUAUUUAUGAUAUUUAAAUAAAAUAUUGUUAGGAAUAAAAUAUAUAGGAAUCUUGAUUUUAUUAUAUUUAUAAAUAAUAAAAAAUAGAUUAAAAGUAGAAUUUUCACAACAUUUUUGAUAGAUGCUGUUAAAUAAACUAUUUGAUACAUGUUUUAGAUACUUUCUAGGGUUUAUUGCUGCUACUUUAUAGCAUCGUUUAAACAAGCAGCUUGGCCCAAACAAACUGAGUUUAAAGAGUGUCCCAUUCGGGACGGGUUGCGAAUGAGAUCCAGCAGCAGUUCGGUGGGAGGUCCCUUUAAGUUUCCAUUGAGGGAGGCCGCACUAUGUCACAUGAUGAACAUGAUAUAAUAAAACAGCGAAAAGAAAAGUGUGUGUGUCCAUGACUACAAAAUAAGACUAAAGCAACGCAGUCGGCCAGUACACGCCCCAUUUUCAGAGAUGGGGCUACUGGAGCUGCAGUGUUCCCAACAUCACCCAGUGAUGAUUUCGUAGUGCGGACCGGACUGCACCUGCUGCCACGCAUAAAACGUACUUCACAGAAACGCAAGAGGACGCAUGAAGUUAUCUGCGACUCCUUCAUAUGAUGAAUGACACAGUUAACGCAAACUCCUCGCGCGCAUGUGAGAACUGAGAAAUGUGCGGAUUGAGCAACAAACACCUGCUUGUCAAUGUGGCUGAAUGGAUAGUGAGAGAGAGAGGAGAGAGAGCCGGAGGUGAGUACACAUCGUCCGCACACAUUGUUUGAUCUGUCCUGUGUUGUUUUUACUCCCACAUGGGCUGACACUCCUGACUUCCUUCAGAGAAUUGAUCUUGACACAUUUUGUGGGUUGUUGAAUUUAACAGAUUUGCAUAUGCAUACUUCUGA
rnacentral:lncRNA from 1 species